rnacentral:lncRNA from 1 species
CGGAGGUAACUAAAACGAAUAGCGUAAAUUAACAGAACCACACAAAUUGACAUAACGACACAUGGCACUAUUUGAACGGCUAUAGUACACAACCAAUUAUAAAUGUGAGUAUAGUUAAGAUUGUCAAUCCCGUUUCGAUAGCUAAAAGUACAUGGUUCUCCAGAAUCAUGAACAAAAUCAAAGAAUUUAUAACCAUGUAUUAUUG